rnacentral:snoRNA from 1 species
AUGCCCGAUGACGAAAGAAAAGCGCUCGAGGGCUGUCGUUGGUCGCGCUCGCGUCGCGUCGGUGGCGAGUGACGUCAUCCUGCACUAGCAGCGUGUCCGGCGCGGGCGUGACUGCGGGGUUGCCCGGUGAACAUGAGAUUAUGAGAUCUGAGGGCCUU